GUGAUCCCGGGUCGAACGGCCCCUAGUGCAGAUCUUGGUGGUAGUAGCAAAUACUCAAAUGAGAACUUUGAGGACUGAAGUGGGGAAAGGUUCCAUGUGAACAGCAGUUGGACAUGGGUUAGUCGAUCCUAAGGCAUAGGG
rnacentral:ncRNA from 1 species